rnacentral:rRNA from 1 species
GAUGAACGCUGGCGGCGUGCCUAAUACAUGCAAGUCGAGCGAACAGACGAGGAGCUUGCUCCUCUGACGUUAGCGGCGGACGGGUGAGUAACACGUGGAUAACCUACCUAUAAGACUGGGAUAACUUCGGGAAACCGGAGCUAAUACCGGAUAAUAUAUUGAACCGCAUGGUUCAAUAGUGAAAGACGGUUUUGCUGUCACUUAUAGAUGGAUCCGCGCCGCAUUAGCUAGUUGGUAAGGUAACGGCUUACCAAGGCGACGAUGCGUAGCCGACCUGAGAGGGUGAUUGGCCACACUGGAACUGGGACACGGUCCAGACUCCUACGGGAGGCAGCAGUAGGGAAUCUUCCGCAAUGGGCGAAAGCCUGACGGAGCAACGCCGCGUGAGUGAUGAAGGUCUUCGGAUCGUAAAACUCUGUUAUUAGGGAAGAACAAAUGUGUAAGUAACUAUGCACGUCUUGACGGUACCUAAUCAGAAAGCCACGGCUAACUACGUG